UACGGAGGGGGCUAGCGUUGUUCGGAAUUACUGGGCGUAAAGCGCACGUAGGCGGCUAACCAAGUUGGGGGUGAAAGCCCAGGGCUUAACCCUGGAACUGCCUUCAAGACUGGUUGGCUAGAGGCCGAGAGAGGUAAGGGGAAUUCCUAGUGUAGAGGUGAAAUUCGUAGAUAUUAGGAAGAACACCGGUGGCGAAGGCGCCUUACUGGCUCGGUACUGACGCUGAGGUGCGAAAGCGUGGGGAGCAAAC
rnacentral:rRNA from 1 species